rnacentral:rRNA from 1 species
UGGGGAAUAUUGGACAAUGGGGGCAACCCUGAUCCAGCAAUGCCGCGUGGGUGAUGAAGGCCUUCGGGUUGUAAAGCCCUUUUGGCGGGGACGAUGAUGACGGUACCCGCAGAAUAAGCCCCGGCUAACUUCGUGCCAGCAGCCGCGGUAAUACGAAGGGGGCUAGCGUUGUUCGGAAUUACUGGGCGUAAAGGGCGCGUAGGCGGCCUUGUGCGUCGAGCGUGAAAGGCCUGGGCUCAACCCGGGAAUGGCGCUCGAUACGACGAGGCUUGAGUGCAGGAGAGGAUGGUGGAAUUCCCAGUGUAGAGGUGAAAUUCGUAGAUAUUGGGAAGAACACCGGUGGCGAAGGCGGCCAUCUGGACUGCAACUGACGCUGAGGCGCGAAAGCGUGGGGAGCAAA